AUCGUUUUGCAAAGUCUGGUGGUAAUGAGGAAGAAAAAGGACUUUGCUCACAAACGCUUCCCAUCGUGUGCAAGUCUUGUGAUGCUGCGGAAGAGUCUCUGAUUGUCACAGGGGAACAGACACUGACUGACAUCUGUAAGCCAAUUGCCUACUGUGUGCUGCUGAAACGUGAUUUGCCAUGGAGUGGAAGAGUAACCUGAGGCGUACCCAGUCACUAAGGAGCGUCCCCUCGUCAUGUGACAAGCCCAGCUGGACAGGUGCAGGGCUGCAGGACAAGAUAACAUCUGUGUCCCAGCUAGUUGCCAGGUAUCAAACUACAGUGGAAGUAAGCGCAUCUCUUCAAGAAAUGUCAGAAAAUAUCGGUGAAGCGAAG